GCUAUGAAUAUAUGGGACGCACCAUGACAUUUUGGGUCCAAAUUCGGCGUUACGUCAUUUGAGAAAACAUCGAUUAAAGUUACGUCACAAAAAAAUGGUGGACGUUACCACGUGUUAGCGGCAAUUAAUGCAUUUCUUGUUUCCAAUAAUACUCAACCUUGCCACAAGAAAAAAAUGAAGUGACUUUUAUAAACAUUUCCGUGUUCUUUAAAAUUUUUAAAUGAUUGAUAAUUUAUCACCCUUUGAAUCGACACGCCAUUUGUAAACAUCGAAGGUCGCGGAGAAAAUGAAACUACCAAAAACAAUUAUUUGAUGAUUUAUUUCGAUUGUAUAAAGAAUGACAGUUAGCGAAUCUCAAGAUCAAACACUGAGGAUUGUUUGGCUUGAUGCAAUGACCUUAAACAGUGAAAUGAUUUUCCAGGAAGGUCUAUACACAAAAAGCUGGAUUUUAUGGGGUGAUGAAAGAACUAUGAAUAUGUAAAUGGGAAUGAAACAGAAGGAAUUAAUAUGUUCUACUGAUCAUCCAGCUGAAAUCAUGCCUGUGGAACAGAGUGCAUGUCACAAAUACUGAUAUGAGCAAAUAACUCCAUAUUGCACAAAUAAUGUCAUGUUUUCUGCCCUCAUGACCUGAAAAAGUUAAGAAUUCUAGUUCAGAUUACAAAAAGUAGAACUUAGUCAACUGUGAGAAAUAUUGGGUAAAAGUAGUGUUUUGAUGUCAUGACAGCUGUGAAGUUGUAUGAGAAGCACUAUCCUAAUACGGAAUUUAACUUAUAAAUUUUUCAAAACUGCAUGCAUGAAAUACUAAGACAUGUCUGUUGGAUGAAUCCUAGUUGUUUCAAAACUACAACAUGUGUGACAUUAAAGCACAACCUUUGGAGGAAACAUUUUUACAAUAAAAACUGCCUUGCCAGUGUGAGUGUAGGAAGGAUUUUUCCAGAAAUGACAGAAAACUACUAAUAUAGCAGAAAAUAUUUGUUACUGGCUGAAUAUAAUAUAUCUCAUUUCAAGAAUUAAUCAUGUUAAUCCAUGGUUAUAAUUGUGUUAAAAGAUAUUUUUACAUGACAUGACCUUUGCAGAAAUAGCUAAUUGUUUUGCAAAACAUUGUGAGUUGCCAUGGUAACACAAAUUUGACUUAAAUUUAGAUUUUUUUGAUUAUGUAAACAGCAUGUGUAUAUAUAUUCUGCUAAUCAGACUAUGUUCUGCAAGAAAAUAUCUUUUAUGUGUAACCAUCAACAAAACAUGUUAUAACACAAAUCUGCCAUAAAAUGGCAGAGCUGUAAUGCAGGUAGGAAUAUCAGGAAAAUAUGCAGUUCUGGAAGACAAGUUAUAUUACAUAAAAUGAUAUUUGCUUUUUAUAAAUGAUCAUAAUUGACCAUUUGUGGUGUAAAACAAAUACAUCAUUUUUCAUCAUUUCGUCCAUACGUCCCUUCUCAUAACUCGAAUUUCGGUUAUCUCGAAAUAAAAAGCACGGUCCCUUGAAAUUCGAGAUACCGAGUUUCGACUGUAUAUACUGAACAGAUGCUAAAUGAAUGUGCUGAUUCUUUCUGGAAAAUUAACAAAAAACUACUAUUUUAAGAAAAUAGUGCAUUGUUGCCAUGGUAACAUUAAUUUAACUUUUAAAUUAUUUUGGAUAUCAUCAUAUGUAAACAACAUCUUUCUUGUUUAUAUGUUAUAUAUGUUAAGCUGUAUUAUGUUAGUGAAUAUAUUUUCAUAUGUAAUAAUUGCAUCAAUAAAGCACUAUGUUAUUACACAAGCCUGCCUUAAAAUGGCAAUAGUUGUAACUGAGAGAGGUGUAUCUGAAAAUUAUGUAUUUCUCAAACCAUAUUACAUUAAUUUUCAGGAAUGAUGUCUACUCUCUUACUUUUAAAUAAGAAAACAGACAGCUUUUGAUGUAAAUAUAUGGAAAAACACUUCCAAUAUUCAAUUUAUUACAAAGAAAUUGUCAAAAAUGUUAGUAUUUUUGUAAGAAAAUACCACAUUGUUGCCAUGGUAAUGUUAGUAUUUUUGUAAGAAAAUACCACAUCGUUGCCAUAGUAAUGAUUCACUGAUCAGUAUAUCUAAGUCUUUUGAAAUUUUAGCAAACUCACAGUUGAUAAUAACAGUCUAAUAAUUAUAUCUUCAUGCCUGAUUUUCUUUCUUACUGUUUAAUAUAGAUAAGGUGUCUAUAAUAGCAGAGCUACCGGCGCCGCAAAGCGGCGCCGACAGCGUCGCAUUACGGUUAGACGUGUGAAAAAGAAAAUGAAUAGAGAGAUCUAAUUGUGUAUACUAUCGAGUUGAAAAUUCGUGGUACUUUUUGGCAUCGGUGUUGUUCGGAUUUUUUUCAUGUGUACUAUGUACAUAGUAAUUAAUCAGUAAAGACGUCAGUAGACGCUUACUGUUUACGGUUGACAAAAGCGUCUCGCUUACUGCUUUGAAUAUAGAAUAAAAAUGUAAAUGAGCGUUUGAUAAUAAGAAAUUAAAGUCUGUUCCACCUAUUACGUUUACCUCGUUUCUGAAUUAUCAGUAUCGAUAAAAUCGUCCAAAAAACAUAUUUAUAUACCAUACAUCAAUAUCUCUAGACCUUUUUUUCAUUUUUUCAAUAAAGUGUAUUUUAAAGAUAUAAUCUUGGAUUUUUCUUUUUUCCCCAUAGGCCGUAAUGCUAUAUGACGUUACGUCGACUUUCCAAUAUGGCGGCGUCCGUAGCGCAACA